GACGAACGCUGGCGGCGUGCUUAACACAUGCAAGUCGAACGAUGAAGCCCAGCUUGCUGGGUGGAUUAGUGGCGAACGGGUGAGUAACACGUGGGCAACCUGCCCCAAACUCUGGGAUAACUCCUCGAAAGAGGUGCUAAUACCGGAUACGAACUAGGUAGACAUCUGCACUAGUUGGAAAGUUUUUCGGUUUGGGAUGGGCCCGCGGCCUAUCAGCUUGUUGGUGAGGUAACAGCUCACCAAGGCUACGACGGGUAACCGGCCUGAGAGGGCGACCGGUCACACUGGGACUGAGACACGGCCCAGACUCCUACGGGAGGCAGCAGUGGGGAAUAUUGCGCAAUGGGCGAAAGCCUGACGGAGCGACGCCGCGUGAGGGAUGAAGGUCUUCGGAUCGUAAACCUCUUUCAGUAGGGACGAAGCGAAAGUGACGGUACCUAAAGAAGAAGCACCGGCUAACUACGUGCCAGCCGCCGCCGUAA
rnacentral:rRNA from 1 species